rnacentral:rRNA from 1 species
AUUGAACGCUGGCGGCAUGCCUUACACAUGCAAGUCGAACGGCAGCACGGGAGCAAUCCUGGUGGCGAGUGGCGAACGGGUGAGUAAUAUAUCGGAACGUGCCCAGUCGUGGGGGAUAACGUAGCGAAAGCUACGCUAAUACCGCAUACGAUCUAUGGAUGAAAGCGGGGGAUCGCAAGACCUCGCGCGAUUGGAGCGGCCGAUAUCAGAUUAGGUAGUUGGUGAGGUAAAGGCUCACCAAGCCGACGAUCUGUAGUUGGUCUGAGAGGACGACCAGCCACACUGGGACUGAGACACGGCCCAGACUCCUACGGGAGGCAGCAGUGGGGAAUUUUGGACAAUGGGCGCAAGUCUGAUCCAGCAAUGCCGCGUGCAGGAUGAAGGCCUUCGGGUUGUAAACUGCUUUUGUACGGAACGAAACGGCGAGCUCUAAUACAGUUUGCUAAUAACGGUACCGUAAGAAUAAGCACCGGCUAACUACGUGCCAGCCGCCGCGGUAA